GGGCCUCCCUUCGCUUGUGCCUGCGGGCCGUGGGCGUCCGCAACGGCGGGACCGCUACCGUGUGGAAAGAAAGGGGGUUUUUCUCUCUUUCCGUCUAAAAAGGAGCAUUUCCUACACCCCCCCCCCUUAAAAGUGCAAAUGACAAAGUGAGAGAUAAAGUCUAAAGAAGUGAUACUCUGUCUUGGAUGCUUUGAACAUGGUGACUGAAGGAAACAAAGUUCUUCAGGGAAAAAAGAAGAAAGAAAAAAGCAUGAAAAGACUGGAGUUCAGCUGUUAUUUUGGGGAAGAACCUUUUGCCAAGUCCCACACAGA